rnacentral:rRNA from 1 species
UACGUAGGGGGCGAGCGUUAUCCGGAUUUACUGGGUGUAAAGGGAGCGUAGACGGCCAUGCAAGCCUGAUGUGAAAGGUGCGGGCACAACCCGCACACUGCAUUGGGAACUGUAUGGCUGGAGUGCCGGAGGGGCAGGCGGAAUUCCUGGUGUAGCGGUGAAAUGCGUAGAUAUCAGGAGGAACACCGGUGGCGAAGGCGGCCUGCUGGACGGCGACUGACGUUGAGGCUCGAGAGCGUGGGGAGCGA